GAUUUUUACCAACACUGCCCUUCCUGGUCCGAUUAGUUUGAGUAUUCUGAUUAAGUUAGAUUGUAACGGGUUUGGUCAGUACACCCGAAUAGGAAAUGGUGUUUCCGUCAUAGCGUUAAAGCUUGUGUUUUUAUGGAUGAUUAUGGUGAUACUUAAUAGGAGGAAGAAGAAGAAGAAGAAUCAAGUUUGCUUGUGAGGCAGAGUAACAAGUUGUGAUUCCUUGUGCCCUACACUCAAUUGAUGGGUUAAGGUGAAAUGGUGAGUGAGUCUGCUACUCUAUCAAGUUACAUCAUCAUUUCAUAAUACUACAAGGCUAGUGUCCAAGCAAGGCAUGUUGGUGUAACACGCGAAAGUCAGCCCUCACAACAAAUACAGGGAAAAAUUCUGCAUGAAGCUCAGAAAAGGAAAUAGAGGUAAGAACUCUCAGUGUGGUGGUAAGGUCAUGUUACUUCGUAUCAUGUAGAAAUUCAUAUUCGAAAGCGAUUGUCAUGUUGUGAAAGAAAUUCCAGCUAAGUUGUUGAAAAUACAAGAACCUGCAGCCAAGCGUGUGAGAGCAAUCACACAGUCCCUGUCUCUUCAGGUAGUUUAUGAUGUAUAAAAACAUUUGUCAUCGUUAUAUCUGAAGUUGUUUCUUGUAUAAAUUCUCUUGGCCUUAAACCAGCGCAUGACGGUGGGGAGUCGUGUUUUUUUCUUUUUUGUCGUGCCCUCGCCCCGCUACCGCACGCGGUCAUGGAAUUGUAAAUUCUAACUUCCUAAGACGAUCAACCUGAACUCAUAAAGAGAUUAGGGGAUGACGAUGGAUUGGCAAGGGGCCGAGUUCAUAUAUUGUUAAGAAAAAGAUUCUUGCGCUUGAAAAUUCCAGUAGAUGAUUAUCCAAAUGUAUUGUGGCGUGUUGUUGAGCAUUUUAAUACAUUUAACUUUGAUUUGUUUCACAAGUUCUUCUAAAUAUAAUUUUGCAUUUUUAAAUCGAACUCUAAAACUGGGUUGUUGUUAUGGAUAUCAGUUCAAUUUUUGAUGACUUCUUGGUCACAUAGGAAAUGCAUUAAAAUUGGUGUAAGGUUCAACAGGUGUUGUGUGUACAUUAGAGGAAAAGGUUCGAUUAAAAAUCCGGGGAAGGAGGAUAAGCUUUGUGGGAGACUAGGAUGUGAGCACCUAAAUGAUCCACUGCACAUCUUGGUCGAGGCCGAGUUUACUGUUAACAUAAUUGAUACAAGACUGGGACAAGAACAGGAAAUUAUCAUUGAGUUACUCAAACCAGUGGAAGAAUACUCUCUUUCAUUCUAGAUAUCUUGUUAACUGCAGACAUGACAAUCACUUAUCGUGGUGGAGUAGACAGUGAAUGGCGUCUGGUAAUGGUUGUCGUUGGAGCCCAUUUCCAAAAGGUUUGUCGAUCUUGAGAGAUUUGUGCUACCUAUGUGCUUGCUAUGGAGAUGCUGUAAGUCAUUGUUGUCAUUCUUCUUCUGGAAAUGUGGGGUUAUAUGCACCCGAAAACACAAUCUAUUUUCUGUAAAAUGUAGAUAUGUAAAUGUUGUCUUCUCUGCUUGUUGGAUCUUAUCCCUUGGUGGAAUUAGCCUAACGAGACCUAAUUAUAUUCUUAUUGUUUGGCA